UUAAAGAAAGCGUAAUAGCUCACUGGUCUAGUGAUUUUGCGCGGAAAAUAUAACGGGGCUAAAGUAAGUACCGAAGCUUUAGACUUGCACACAACUUAGAUGAUUUAAAUUUAAAAUAUGAGAAGCUAAAUUUAUUUUUAUUUAUUUUUNGCUUAUCUUUAUUCAUUUUUAUAGAGUAAAGAUAAAAACAAAAACUUCGUAAAAAUAAUAAAAAUAUAGUAAAAANCAAUAAAAAUAUUCUUAGAUUAAGUUAGUCAUUUAGUCAUUAGUUGUGUGCAAGUGGUAGGAGAGCGUUCUAUUUGCGUCGAAGGUAUACCGGUAAGGAGUGCUGGAGCGAAUAGACGUGAGCAUGCAGGCAUGAGUAGCGAUAAUUAAUGUGAGAAUCAUUAACGCCGUAAACCCAAGGUUUCCUACGCGAUGCUCGUCAUCGUAGGGUUAGUCGGGUCCUAAGUCGAGUCCGAAAGGGUAGACGAUGGCAAAUUGGUUAAUAUUCCAAUACCAACAUUAGUGUGCGAUGGAAGGACGCUUAGGGCUAAGGGGGCUAGCGGAUGGAAGUGCUAGUCUAAGGUCGUAGGAGCUUAUACAGGAAAAUCCGUAUAACAAUACUCCGAGAACUGAAAGGCUUUUUGAAGUCUUCGGAUGGAUAGAAGAACCCCUGAUGCCGUCGAGCCAAGAAAAGUUUCUAAGUUUAGCUAAUGUUGCCCGUACCGUAAACCGACACAGGUGGGUGGGAUGAGUAUUCUAAGGCGCGUGGAAGAACUCUCUUUAAGGAACUCUGCAAAAUAGCACCGUAUCUUCGGUAUAAGGUGUGCCUCCCUUUGUAUUAGAAUUUACUUCGAAAGCAAAGGAGGUUACAACAAAGAGUCCCUCCCGACUGUUUACCAAAAACACAGCACUCUGCUAACUCGUAAGAGGAUGUAUAGGGUGUGACGCCUGCCCGGUGCUCGAAGGUUAAUUGAUGGGGUUAGCAUUAGCGAAGCUCUUGAUCGAAGCCCG
rnacentral:rRNA from 1 species